rnacentral:rRNA from 1 species
UUUAUUAUAAGUAAUAUCUGCUCCAUGUUAAUAAAUAGCCGCAGAAUUUUAACUGUGCUAAGGUAGCAUAAUCAUUUACCUUUUAAUUAAAGGUCUGUAUGAAUGAUUACACAAUUAAAUUUCUUUUUUAAAACCAUAUGUUUAAUUUAUACUAAAAAUAAAAAUAUUUUUAUAUAAAAAAAAGACGAUAAGACCCUAUUGAACUUUACCACUGUUUAGCUGGGGAAGCUAAUUAAAUACAAUUUUAAUUUAAUUUUAAAAAUAAAUUUCUAAUAUAAUUAUCUAAAAUAAGUUACCAUAGGGAUAACAGCGUAAUAUAAUUUUAAAGCUCAUAUUAAAAAUUAAGCUUACGACCUCGAUGUUGAAUUAGAUUACCUCUAAACCGCAGUAGGUUAAAAGGAGGUCUGU